UGUCUGUGAUGAGGAAUUUGGUAUUCGUACUGUAUGAUCAUUUGUGAUUACAAUUACCUCUACUGCCUUCCUUCUGAGGCU
rfam:Cucumis melo, WGS project CAJI01000000 data, contig: 25163